rnacentral:lncRNA from 1 species
AGAAAAAUAGGAGGAGAAAAAGAGGAGGGGGAGUAGGAGGAGAAAAAAGAAGAAGAAGAAGAAGAAGAAGAAGAAGAAGAAGAAAAGAAGAAGAAGAAGAAAAAGAGGAGAGAGGAGAAGAAGAAAAAACAGGAAAAGGGAACCCCGGCACCCCGAAACUGACCCUCGACCCCCAACCCGUGAUGCCCGACGCCACUGACCCCCGACCAUCGACCCCCAACGCCACUGACCCCCCACCCCC